AACGAACGCUGGCGGCAUGCCUAACACAUGCAAGUCGAACGAGACCUUCGGGUCUAGUGGCGCACGGGUGCGUAACGCGUGGGAACCUGCCCUUAGGUUCGGAAUAACUCCCCGAAAGGGGUGCUAAUACCGGAUAAUGUCUUCGGACCAAAGAUUUAUCGCCUUUGGAUGGGCCCGCGUUGGAUUAGCUAGUUGGUGGGGUAAAAGCCUACCAAGGCGACGAUCCAUAGCUGGUCUGAGAGGAUGAUCAGCCACACUGGGACUGAGACACGGCCCAGACUCCUACGGGAAGCAGCAGUGGGGAAUAUUGGGCAAUGGGCGAAAGCCUGAUCCAGCAAUGCCGCGUGAGUGAUGAAGGCCUUAGGGUUGUAAAGCUCUUUUACCCGGGAUGAUAAUGACAGUACCGGGAGAAUAAGCUCCGGCUAACUCCGUG
rnacentral:rRNA from 1 species